AGCGGCGGACGGGUGAGUAACGCGUGGGUAACCUGCCCUAUACACAUGGAUAACAUACUGAAAAGUUUACUAAUACAUGAUAAUAUAUAUUUACGGCAUCGUAGACUAUAUCAAAGUGUUAGCGGUAUAGGAUGGANCCCGCGUCUGAUUAGCUAGUUGGUGAGAUAACUGCCCACCAAGGCGACGAUCAGUAGCCGACCUGAGAGGGUGAUCGGCCACAUUGGAACUGAGACACGGUCCAAACUCCUACGGGAGGCAGCAGUGGGGAAUAUUGCACAAUGGGCGCAAGCCUGAUGCAGCAACGCCGCGUGAACGAUGAAGGUCUUCGGAUCGUAAAGUUCUGUUGCAGGGGAAGAUAAUGACGGUACCCUGUGAGGAAGCCCCGGCUAACUACGUGCCAGCAGCCGCGGUAAUACGUAGGGGGCUAGCGUUAUCCGGAUUUACUGGGCGUAAAGGGUGCGUAGGUGGUCUUUCAAGUCGGUGGUUAAAGGCUACGGCUCAACCGUAGUUAGCCUCCGAAACUGGAAGACUUGAGUGCAGGAGAGGAAAGUGGAAUUCCCAGUGUAGCGGUGAAAUGCGUAGAUAUUGGGAGGAACACCAGUAGCGAAGGCGGCUUUCUGGACUGCAACUGACACUGAGGCACGAAAGCGUGGGUAGCAAACAGGAUUAGAUACCCUGGUAGUCCACGCUGUAAACGAUGAGUACUAGGUGUCGGGGGUUACCCCCCUCGUCCCAGCUACGCAUUAAGUACUCCGCCUAGAGGGAGUACGC
rnacentral:rRNA from 1 species